rnacentral:rRNA from 1 species
UAACGACUCUCGGCAACGGAUAUCUCGGCUCUCGCAUCCAUGAAGAACGUGAAAUCGAUACUUGGGUGUAAAUGCCGAAUUCCGGUGACCCUUGGGUUUUUGGACCCCAAGUGCCCCCCCAACCCCUUAGGGCCGGGCCCGUUUGCCUGGGGGUCCAGCC